UACGGGAGGCAGCAGUGGGGAAUUUUGGACAAUGGGCGCAAGCCUGAUCCAGCAAUGCCGCGUGCAGGAAGAAGGCCUUCGGGUUGUAAACUGCUUUUGUCAGGGAAGAAAUCUUCUGGGCUAAUACCCCGGGAGGAUGACGGUACCUGAAGAAUAAGCACCGGCUAACUACGUGCCAGCAGCCGCGGUAAUACGUAGGGUGCGAGCGUUAAUCGGAAUUACUGGGCGUAAAGCGUGCGCAGGCGGCUUUGCAAGACAGAUGUGAAAUCCCCGGGCUCAACCUGGGAACUGCAUUUGUGACUGCAAGGCUAGAGUACGGCAGAGGGGGAUGGAAUUCCGCGUGUAGCAGUGAAAUGCGUAGAUAUGCGGAGGAACACCAAUGGCGAAGGCAAUCCCCUGGGCCUGUACUGACGCUCAUGCACGAAAGCGUGGGGAGCAAACAGGAUUAGAUACCCUGGUAGUCCACGCCCUAAACGAUGUCAACUGGUUGUUGGACGGCUUGCUGUUCAGUAACGAAGCUAACGCGUGAAGUG
rnacentral:rRNA from 1 species